AAUUGUCUUACUGAAUUUGUGUAUAUUUCAGAUUUAACUCAUUUAGAAGAAUGAUAACUUAGACAACGUGUUCAUUGAUCACAUUGAUGUUCUUCUGUCAGGGAUCAACCUCUCUCAACUCUACCCUCCCCCUGGCAUCCAACCAUCAUUUAAUCUUGAACCCACUCCUUCCUUGUAUUGUUCUACCCUGAGUAUCGGUAUCGUAGGUUUCAUACCAACUCCCUUUUCUAAUUUGAUGUUGCCCUAUCCCUCGUAUAUUCUGCAUCCUCUGGUACUCUUGAGAGCUCCCAGUAUCCUCUAGUUCCCUGAGAAUUCCCUGUUUCCUCUAGUACCCUGAGAGCUACCGCAUCCUUCAGUACCCUGAGAACUACCUGCAUCCUCUAGUACCCCUUUUACCUGAGAGCUACCUGCAUCCUCUAGUACCCUGAGAGCUACCUGGAUCCUGUAGUACCCUAAGAGCGCCCUGCAUCCUCUAGUUCCCUGAGAAUUCCCUGCAUCAUCUAGUACCCUGCGUGCUACCUGCAUCCUCUAGUACACCUGAGAGCUACCUGCAUCCUCUAGUACCCUGAGAGCUCCCUGCAUCCUAUAGUACCCCCUUCACCUGAGAGCUCCCUAUUUCCUGUAGUGAACCCUGAGCUAACCCUCCUCUCUGCUUGAGAAUGUGGAGCACUGCCAAGAUGGCUCCGGUGUCAACAGGAAGUGCAAAAAGUCUGGGGAUGACUGCUCCUAUCUCCAGUGUAGGACCUGAACCAAGGGAUCUUCAGCUUUCAAUAGAGCUACAAGAUGCGCUCAGACCCCAUGAUGUAUUUGAAACAGAUGAAGAAUUAAACAAAAGGAUGGAAGUACUCAGUAGACUCAAUGAUCUCGUUAAAAAGUGGAUUAAGGACACAAGUGUAGAGAAAAGUAUGCCUGAGAAUAUUGCUGCUACCGUGGGAGGAAAAGUUUACACAUUCGGUUCCUACCGUCUUGGUGUGCACAACAAAGGCGCGGAUAUAGACACUCUGUGCGUAGCGCCGCGUCAUAUUCUCCGUGAGGAUUAUUUUUCCACCUUCCUUGACCUUCUCCGAACCCGGGAGGAGGUGAGUGAACUACGCGCUGUCCCCGACGCGUUUGUCCCCGUGAUAAAGUUUAGUUUCGACGGCAUUGACAUUGAUUUGACAUUUGCGCGGCUAGCGUUGAAGGAAGUAAGUGAGAAGCAGGAUCUAAGUGAUCCAAUGCUCCUGAAAAACCUGGAUCAGAAGUGUGUCCGGAGUUUAAACGGUUGCAGGGUGACAGAUGAGAUCCUGAGACAGGUUCCUGAUGUAGAGAACUUCCGGCUUACACUCAGAUCUAUAAAACUGUGGGCAAAGAAGCACGGUGUGUACAGUAACGUACUCGGGUUCCUGGGAGGUGUAUCCUGGGCUAUGUUGACCGCCAGGGUAUGCCAGCUGUAUCCCAACGCUGCUCCCUCAACCCUGCUACAGAAAUUUUUCCUCGUCUACCUGAAAUGGCAGUGGCCGCAGCCGGUACUUCUCAAGAAACCUGAAGAUUUUGGACUGGGGUUUCCAGUGUGGGAUCCAAGAUUUAACGUUGCAGACAGGUUUCAUAUAAUGCCAAUUAUCACCCCCGCCUACCCCCAGCAAAACUCCACCUUUAACGUGACCCAGAGCACCUUGAAGGUGAUGCAGGAGGAGUUCAAAUCCAGUCUAGUAAUCUGUGAAGAGAUUAUGGCAGGCAAAUGUGGUUGGAAUAAGCUGUUUGAACCUCCAAACUUCUUCGCUAAAUAUCGUCAUUUCAUUGUCCUGGAGGCUAGCAGUAUUUGUGAAGAGGAUCAACUACAGUGGAUGGGUUUAGUGGAAAGCAAGGUUCGGCACCUGAUCUCUAGCCUUGAGCGGGAAAACAUCAGUUUGGCUCACGUCUGGCCUAAAACCUACUGCGGAGCGACAGAGAGCACUGCUAAGACGACCUGCUACUGGUUUGUUGGGCUCCUAGUUGGAGGCUCAGCCGGGGCUCAUCUCGACCUCACUUCUCCCAUCAAGAACUUCACAGAUAUUGUUAUGCGCUCCGCGAUACAGAUAAACGUUUGGAAGACAGGGAUGAGGAUAGAGGCGUACUACAAGAAAAGGAAAGCGCUCUCCGCCUACCUUCCUCCUGAUGAGCACUGGAAACUUAAAUCAGAAAGAAAAUCCUCCGUCGUUUUAAAUUCAAUUAACGGAGGUCCGGCCACUAAGCGGACACAGGAGGAAACAGGAUCACCGCAACCUCCGAAGAGAAUGAACAGCGGCACGGAGACCUUAGUGGAUGUGGACGCGGAGGUCAGCAACCAGGGUGUAGAGACCAGCAGCCAGAACCUUGAGGCUAACAGUGAAAUGGAAGACACAGACUUCUCUAAGAUCGGAGCUGCUGAUAUCACCGAUACGUCCCAGGGUUUGGAGGCACUGGUCUCAUGAAUUCUAUAGAAAGCUCAACCCCUCUGAAUUAAUGAAUGCGAUAGAAAAAAAUUUGGGGAUUUUUUAUUUUGUUAUCGCUUUGAAUAACUUUGUACUGUAUCCUGGUCAAAUAAUUCAUUUACAAUACAUAAAUACCUGACCUGAGUUUAUAAUGGGGAUUAACAAUACAGUUUCGCUGUAAACUAUUGUUGUUGUUUUACCUCUUCCACUUAGUAAAUUAUUAUUAUCACCGACAUUUUUUUUCUAACUUUCUGUUCCUCGUUGUCUAUUUUGUUAUUUUACGCACUUAAAUGUGGCCUAAACUAGCAACUGCACUGAAAUAGUUAAAUCAAUAUUACUCACCACCUCGUGACUUUGUCAUUAUUUUAUCAGCCAGUGUAAUAAUCAUUGUUAAAAUGUUCUUGUGUACACAAACUGUUGUCUUCCCAUAGUCCAAAAAAAAUGCAACUGAACUUAAAUCAGUUAUAAUUUCAGUUUUAAAAUUGGGAAAAUUUAUGUUUAUUCCAUUAUUGGACUGAAUUGGGAUGGAAAAUUAUUUAUCUUAAGAUCAAUUUUUGCAUUUGAUCAAUUUUAGGAUUUGAAUAUUGAUAAGCCAUUUAAUCAUCAGGAUCAAUCAUUGAUUAAUUGAAAUUUAAGUACUCAAGUACAUUCAAUUUUAUCAUUUUUAUACUCCAUCCAAUUCGAUUUAUAACCAACUCAUGAUUUUGUUUAGUUCUUUUGAACCAAAUAAGUUGUGUUUUCAGGUCAUUUUUUAAUAGUUCCCUGGAAAAUUUAUCAGUUGUGCUGUUUUCUGGUCAUUAUUUAAUAGUUCCCUGGAACAUUUAUCAGUUGUUCUGUUUUCCCGUAAUUAUUUAGUAGUGCCCUGGAACAUUUAUCGGCUCUGAUGUUCCAUUGAAUAUUUAUCAGUUGUGAUGUUCUCUGGUUAUUAUUUGAUAGUUCCCUUGAACAUUUAUCAGCUGUGCUGUUCUCUGGUUAUUGUUUUCUUUAUUAUUUAAACAUUGCAGUACACAUUUAAAUUAUGCUAAUUUGUCAGCCCAUAUAUGUUAAUUCACAGCAUGAAUAUCGAUUUAAUUAUGUGAAGAUGAAACUUUUUCAUUCUCUUCCGACCCACUGCACUGCACAGGAUGGGGAACUGGCGUGCCAGCCCCAUGUUCAGGAAGUUCAAGGAUAUCUCCUGGAGAACCUCGAGGUCCUUGAUCUAAACCUUGUUCGUGUACAUGACAGCUCUUUGUAAAUCAACUGUAAUUUAUUAUUUACAAUAAAGGAAUUUCUCCCAA
rnacentral:misc_RNA from 1 species